UGAGUGGCGGACGGGUGAGUAACGCGUGGGCAACCUGGCCUGUACAGGGGGAUAACACUUAGAAAUAGGUGCUAAUACCGCAUAACGGGAGAAGCCGCAUGGCUUUUCCUAAAAACUCCGGUGGUACAGGAUGGGCCCGCGUCUGAUUAGCCAGUUGGCAGGGUAACGGCCUACCAAAGCGACGAUCAGUAGCCGGCCUGAGAGGGCGGACGGCCANACUGGGACUGAGACACGGCCCAGACUCCUACGGGAGGCAGCAG
rnacentral:rRNA from 1 species